rnacentral:rRNA from 1 species
UACAGAGGGUGCUAGCGUUGCUCGGAAUCACUGGGCGUAAAGGGUGCGUAGGCGGGUCUUUAAGUCAGGGGUGAAAUCCUGGAGCUCAACUCCAGAACUGCCUUUGAUACUGGGGAUCUCGAGUCCGGAAGAGGUGAGUGGAACUCCGAGUGUAGAGGUGAAAUUCGUAGAUAUUCGGAAGAACACCAGUGGCGAAGGCGGCUCACUGGUCCGGUACUGACGCUGAGGUGCGAAAGCGUGGGGAGCAAACAGG